GGCCUGGGAGCAAUGUAGAACUGGGAUACUCAGUGAGUAAGGAGGAUGGCAGAUGAACAGAGCAUCAUGAGAAGAGAUGCUCCUGGAUGACCCCAGUGCUGAACUCCUGCUUUAUCCUGCAUGAUCCUCUGUUGGUGGGAUCCUGCUUGAAAAAGGCUUUGGAGUGAUAAAUGGUGGUUCAAUUGUUUCUCACUAAUGUGAAAUUCUUCUCUUUUGGCUCUGAAUUUUAUGACUGCUGCAUUUCUUUGAAACCAUAGAGUGGGAAAGGGUAAGGAGAGUCCAUUCGCCUUGAAUCUGCUCUGGAUUGGCUGAGAUUUGUGAAGUCCAAGAAGACUAAUGGGUUGGGCCUAUCCUAAGAGUGGAUGGAAAAAGGACUCAACAAUAGCCUGGAUGCUUGUCCUGAUGUUUGAAAAGAGAUGCGGAGACCUGACUGUUUUCUUUUCCUCCUUUGGAAAUGGUAUGUGGCUGUUGAGUUUUAAAUGGUCGCAGAGUCUUCCUUGGUGGUAUCAAAGAAUAAGAAAGAGGAAAUGGGAAUCUUCUGAGUUCUGUGUUUGACUAGCUGAAGACAGGGCUCCAGGCAAACUGCCAGUUGCUUCUCUUGAAGCUUCUUAUAUCCUUUACUUUGAUUGAAAUAAAAAAAAAGAGACUAUGACAUCAAGCAGGAAUGAGAGAAAGUAUGUUUUCCUGAACAUGACCCUGAGGGAACCAGUAAAGAGGAAGAAGAAUUAAAGAAAAAACCAAUGUUAAAAAAAAAGAAGGACAAAGAAACGUUUAAAAAAAGAAUGAGAAUGGAAGAAUUGGGUGGAGUAGAGACGUUCAUAAUGCUUCUGUGAGCGGUCAUUCUUUCAAGAGAAUUGAAUCAGGAGUCACAAGAUUAAGACCGCAGUGGGAUGUUCUGCCUUCAGGAGUGUCCCUGGCACAGCAGAUCUGCAAAUUAUGGCUUUUGUGGUUUUCUUCUUGUUUCUUGCUAAGAAAUAAAUGGAGCCACAAGCACAUCAGUGGAGCCUCUUUUUCCUCAGUCUUCCCCUCUCCCAGGGUUUGCUGCACGCUCUCCCCAGCAGCCACAAAAUACUGAGAAUGCCUUGAGAUAGCAUGUUUUCCAUCCAAAAUCAUGAUUCAUGAAUCCUCUUUGUUGUAAA
rnacentral:lncRNA from 1 species